AACGCGAAGAACCUUACCAGGAUUUGACAUGGGAUCGACUGGUGCAGAGAUGCAUCUUUCCCGCAAGGGACGGUCCGCACAGGUGCUGCAUGGCUGUCGUCAGCUCGUGUCGUGAGAUGUUGGGUUAAGUCCCGCAACGAGCGCAACCCUUGCCUUUAGUUGCCAGCAUUUAGUUGGGCACUCUAGAGGAACUGCCGGUGACAAGCCGGAGGAAGGUGGGGAUGACGUCAAGUCCUCAUGGCCCUUAUGUCCUGGGCUACACACGUGCUACAAUGGUGGUGACAGUGGGAAGCUAUGUGGUGACACAAUGCUGAUCUCUAAAAGCCAUCUCAGUUCAGAUUGUACUCUGCAACUCGAGUACAUGAAGGUGGAAUCGCUAGUAAUCGUGGAUCAGCAUGCCACGGUGAAUACGUUCCCGGGCCUUGUACACACCGAGACGUA
rnacentral:rRNA from 1 species